rnacentral:piRNA from 1 species
UCUCACCAACGAAAGCCUUAGAGUGACUC